rnacentral:lncRNA from 1 species
GAGUUCGAUUAAUUUCUCUUCCAGUAAGUGGAGCUGUGCCCACUGGGUCAAGCUUCUCCUCUCACUAGGUGGGAACCAAUCACUGUGUAGCAGCUCUUCCUCACAGACUGGGCGGGUCUCCAAUCCUGAGUGCCUAGGGCCUUCUCUUGUGUUUCCUCAAGCCAGGCCGUGCUCUCCUGUGACGCUCACCACAAUACUGGCUACACGCCAUGUCUGCUGCUCCUGGGAGCCCUGUCGCGCUGGUUUCAAUGCAGUUAUCUCCUCCGCCCGUGACAUCAGUUCUCUGCCAUGGUGGUAUCCCAUGCAAAUGGUGACCGUUCGUUCCCUUUGCCGGGUGACCAAUGCAACGGGUGGGUCCUGACUGUCUCUCCCAAUCCCCGUUUCAGUCCUGUGGCCACUGCCUAUGAAGGCUCGGUUGGUUUUUACCUCUGAAAGUUCCUAAGGGCCAACCAGUUAUUUCAGCGGGAUCGUUAGUGCUGAGUCACGAGAAGCAGGCGAACCGGAGCUUGAAUGCAGCCUAUCCGGGCUCGGUGUGUGUGUUCUGAGGGGCCCAGACUGUACACCCCAGAUCCACAUCAGCUCAGCAUUGCCUAGUGAUCCUGAGCAAACAGCAUUUAGACAAUUUACAGCUCCCUAUACCCGCGCAGUUGAAGAGGUCAGAGACUUGAUGUCUUCCCGCCCGCUGCCAUGUUAGAUCUUCUCAAUGAUAUUCAUGUUGCCCUUACAGCUUCCUGGCAUAAGCAAGUUCUUGGGAUUAUACAAACUGCUGCUUCUGUUUCCAGUCCAGAUUUCUAGAAAUUAAACCAUGCUGCC